UGCGGGGUGGAGCAGUCUGGUAGCUCGUCGGGCUCAUAACCCGAAGGUCGGAGGUUCGAAUCCUCUCCCCGCUACCA
rnacentral:tRNA from 1 species